UUAAGUUCAGCGGGUAUUCCUACCUGAUCCGAGGUCAACCUUUGGGUGUCCUCUCUCUCGAGAGGUCGUUUCACGGCCGGUACCCGCAGCACGCCCAGAGCGAGAAUUAUGCUACUACGCUCGGUGUGUCAGCGAGCCCGCCACUGCAUUUCAGGGCCUGCGCGCCCCGGAGGGCCCGCAGCUCCCCAACACAAGCACGG
rnacentral:misc_RNA from 1 species